rnacentral:tRNA from 1 species
GGGGUCAUGGCGAAACAGGCAGACGCACAAGACUUAAAAUUUUGGGGUGAGAAAUCACCGUGUGGGUUCGAUUCCCACUGACCCCA